rnacentral:rRNA from 1 species
UACGAAGGGUGCAAGCGUUAUUCGGAAUUACUGGGCGUAAAGCGUGCGUAGGCGGUUUGUUAAGUCUGUUGUGAAAUCCCCGGGCUCAACCUGGGAAUGGCAAUGGAUACUGGCAGGCUAGAGUGUGUCAGAGGAUGGUGGAAUUCCCGGUGUAGCGGUGAAAUGCGUAGAGAUCGGGAGGAACAUCAGUGGCGAAGGCGGCCAUCUGGGACAACACUGACGCUGAGGCACGAAAGCGUGGGGAGCAAACAGG